AUUGAACGCUGGCGGCAUGCCUUACACAUGCAAGUCGAACGGCAGCACGGGUGCCUGCACCUGGUGGCGAGUGGCGAACGGGUGAGUAAUACAUCGGAACAUGUCCUGUAGUGGGGGAUAGCCCGGCGAAAGCCGGAUUAAUACCGCAUACGAUCCACGGAUGAAAGCGGGGGCCCUUCGGGCCUCGCGCUAUAGGGUUGGCCGAUGGCUGAUUAGCUAGUUGGUGGGGUAAAGGCCUACCAAGGCGACGAUCAGUAGCUGGUCUGAGAGGACGACCAGCCACACUGGGACUGAGACACGGCCCAGACUCCUACGGGAGGCAGCAGUGGGGAAUUUUGGACAAUGGGCGAAAGCCUGAUCCAGCAAUGCCGCGUGUGUGAAGAAGGCCUUCGGGUUGUAAAGCACUUUUGUCCGGAAAGAAAUCCUUGACUCUAAUACAGUCGGGGGAUGACGGUACCGGAAGAAUAAGCACCGGCUAACUACGUG
rnacentral:rRNA from 1 species